AUGCGAAUCAAUGAAUACGAAAUAACUGCAACCGCCAGGCAGCUCCGGGAAGGGCUGGAGCGUGCGGGGGUGCGGGGAGUCCCUCCCUGGGCGCCGCAACGGCACCUCCUCCCUUUCCCGGCUCCGUCCCGCCCUCCUUCCUCGGCCUCUGCGGACGCGGCCCACGCAGACCACAGCCGAGCUCGCCAGACCCCGGGACUACGGAGGCCAUCCCGUCCGGUCACGCACACCCGCGCCGCGGCUGGGGCUCGGGUUGAGGACUGUGGCGGGAAGAAGCCGUGGCAUACGACUCAGGAUUCAUAACUACAUAUACAUGGAUAGAAGUACAUGAACAGAAAAUCUGCUCUUCUGGAAUACCAAAUGCAAAAUUAAAGUCACUACAAGCAGAAUUUGGAGAAAACAAAUAAAAGAUGCAAUAUAGUUUUUAAAAUCAUUGUUAAAAUAUAAUGAGCCUGUACUUUGCUUAAACAAUAAAAACGUCUUUGAUUUAUACUGAAUUUUGUUUUAUUUGGAUAAACUAAUGUGAAUCAUCUUGAAAAUGUCUUCUGCAUCAUUUUGGUUUUAUUAUAGUGAAACUCCCAUUUAUGUAAUGCAAAUUAUAUACAAAACUGUGCUUCCCUAAGGGGAUCCCCUUAAUAGAAACACCAAAACUCAUUCAACUCUUGUCCUCUGUAGUAGUUAUUUAAUUAGCCUUUCUAUGCUAUACGUUCUAGGGAUAUCUGAAUUUAUGAAAUUUAUCAAUUCUUCUUACAAUUAUGAUCCUCAGUAUAACUCAGCAUUAAGUCUGACUGUGCUUCUGAAGUCAGUUAGUUUAUUUAUUGUCAUCCAUGCUUAGGUGGAGAGAGAAUUUCCAGUUGCCUGAUUACUCUGUGAGGUAAGAAUUUGUUAGCAACUCUCUCAGGUCAUCUUUUUAAAUAAGUCUUAAGAGUACAUCAGAGAGAAAUAGAUAGCAUGAAAUCCGAUUUAGCUGUUCUUUGUUGUAGAUAACUCCAUUUGAUAAAGAAAGCUAAGACAUACCCAUUGACACACAACAAAGCUUACUAAAUUUAUCAAUAGAAUAAAACAUGAAAUCAAUAGAAGUCAAACUCAUCAAAUUAUUUUUCUCAUUUAGACUCAUCUUGACAUAAAACAAAUGGAUCAUGACACAUCCCAAGAGAGACUUAGGGUAGAGAGCACAGGGAAAUGCUUUUCUUAGAAGGGAGUCUAUGGGGAUGCCAGUUUUCAAGGAUCACGAUAUUUUAUUACAUGUUUCUGUAACUUUCAAAAAUUUAUAAAUUCCAUAACUGGUAGAUACACCUACCCCACUUUAAACAUAUGGGUACAGUUAGUUAAAGAUAACAAAGUAAAACAAGAAGAUGUUUUAAGUGAUCAGAAUAGCUUAAUAAUCUAUCCUAAGUGGGUGAAUACAAUUCUUGAUAAAUUGUCCCAAAAGGUGCUGGUCUAUGCCCUUUAAAUAAAAAACUUUUGUUUUCAUUAAAUUAUAGAUAAAUUCAUAUGUUGGUUUUAUUCUAAAUUGCAGAAUUAAGUGUCUAACAGAUUUCUGAUUAAACAUGCAAGGGAUGGGUAUAUUUUCAAUAACUUUUUAAAAAUAAUGUAUCUAC
ensembl:lincRNA